rnacentral:rRNA from 1 species
UGGGGAAUAUUGCACAGUGGGCGCAAGCCUGAUGCAGCAACGCCGCGUGAGGGACGACGGCCUUCGGGUUGUAAACCUCUUUUGGCAGGGAAGAAGCGAAAGUGACGGUACCUGCAGAAGAAGCACCGGCUAACUACGUGCCAGCAGCCGCGGUGAUACGUAGGGUGCAAGCGUUGUCCGGAAUUAUUGGGCGUAAAGAGCUCGUAGGCGGUUUGUCGCGUCUGCUGUGAAAACCCGAGGCUCAACCUCGGGCCUGCAGUGGGUACGGGCAAACUAGAGUGCGGUAGGGGAGAUUGGAAUUCCUGGUGUAGCGGUGGAAUGCGCAGAUAUCAGGAGGAACACCGAUGGCGAAGGCAGAUCUUUGGGCCGUAACUGACGCUGAGGAGCGAAAGCAUGGGGAGCGAACA